GACGAACGCUGGCGGCGUGCUUAACACAUGCAAGUCGAACGGAAAGGCCCUGCUUUUGUGGGGUGCUCGAGUGGCGAACGGGUGAGUAACACGUGAGUAACCUGCCCUUGACUUUGGGAUAACUUCAGGAAACUGGGGCUAAUACCGGAUAGGAGUUCCUGCUGCAGGGUGGGGGUUGGAAAGUUUCGGCGGUUGGGGAUGGACUCGCGGCUUAUCAGCUUGUUGGUGGGGUAGUGGCUUACCAAGGCUUUGACGGGUAGCCGGCCUGAGAGGGUGACCGGCCACAUUGGGACUGAGAUACGGCCCAGACUCCUACGGGAGGCAGCAGUGGGGAAUAUUGCACAAUGGGCGGAAGCCUGAUGCAGCAACGCCGCGUGCGGGAUGACGGCCUUCGGGUUGUAAACCGCUUUCGCCUGUGACGAAGCGUGAGUGACGGUAAUGGGUAAAGAAGCACCGGCUAACUACGUG
rnacentral:rRNA from 1 species